GAGUUUGAUCCUGGCUCAGAACGAACGCUGGCGGCGUGCUUAACACAUGCAAGUCGAACGUGAUUGAGAGCUUGCUCUCAUGAAAGUGGCGCACGGGUGAGUAACACGUGGAUAAUCUGCCUGGCGAUUCGGGAUAACACUUCGAAAGGGGUGCUAAUACCGGAUAAGCCCACGGUCUCUUCGGAGAGUGCGGGAAAAGGGGGCCUCUGUAUAUGCUCCUGUCGCUAGAUGAGUCCGCGGCCCAUUAGCUAGUUGGUAGGGUAAUGGCCUACCAAGGCUACGAUGGGUAGCUGGUCUGAGAGGAUGAUCAGCCACACUGGAACUGAGACACGGUCCAGACUCCUACGGGAGGCAGCAGUGGGGAACUUUGCGCAAUGGGCGAAAGCCUGACGCAGCAACGCCGCGUGAGUGAUGAAGGCCUUCGGGUCGUAAAGCUCUGUCAGAGGGGAAGAACCGCCGGGUGGCUAAUACCUGCCUGGUCUGACGGUACCCUCAAAGGAAGCACCGGCUAACUCCGUGCCAGCAGCCGCGGUAAUACC
rnacentral:rRNA from 2 species